rfam:Bacillus bataviensis LMG 21833 contig59, whole genome shotgun sequence.
AAAUAAAAAACAUUUGUACUGUAGACAGCAGGUGCCAUUAGGCUUAAUGUCCUGCCGAGGUGUAGCGAAUAGAUUCAGCUGUGUAAUCAGCUGUUGUAUCCUGCCUCCAUGUCUAGACCGAUAUGGAGGCAUUUACAUGCCUGG